GCCACACUGGGACUGAGACACGGCCCAGACUCCUACGGGAGGCAGCAGUAGGGAAUCUUCCGCAAUGGACGAAAGUCUGACGGAGCAACGCCGCGUGAGUGAUGAAGGUUUUCGGAUCGUAAAGCUCUGUUGUUAGGGAAGAACAAGUACCGUUCGAAUAGGGCGGUACCUUGACGGUACCUAACCAGAAAGCCACGGCUAACUACGUGCCAGCAGCCGCGGUAAUACGUAGGUGGCAAGCGUUGUCCGGAAUUAUUGGGCGUAAAGGGCUCGCAGGCGGUUUCUUAAGUCUGAUGUGAAAGCCCCCGGCUCAACCGGGGAGGGUCAUUGGAAACUGGGGAACUUGAGUGCAGAAGAGGAGAGUCGAAUUCCACGUGUAGCGGUGAAAUGCGUAGAGAUGUGGAGGAACACCAGUGGCGAAGGCGACUCUCUGGUCUGUAACUGACGCUGAG
rnacentral:rRNA from 1 species